rnacentral:rRNA from 1 species
UACAGAGGGUGCUAGCGUUGUUCGGAAUCAUUGGGCGUAAAGGGCGCGUAGGCGGCCUGCUAAGUCGGACGUGAAAUCCCUCGGCUCAACCGGGGAACUGCGUCCGAUACUGGUUGGCUUGAAUUCGGGAGAGGGAUGCGGAAUUCCAGGUGUAGCGGUGAAAUGCGUAGAUAUCUGGAGGAACACCGGUGGCGAAGGCGGCAUCCUGGACCGAGAUUGACGCUGAUGCGCGAAAGCCAGGGGAGCAAACGGG